GGUCGAUCCUUUGGCCGCUCGUCGCCGCCUGCGCGGCCGCGCUCUGUUGGGCGCCCAUGACUGUCGGUUUGGAAAAAAAAGAAGCGGGGGAAACAAAAAAGUGAGGGAUUGCGCUUCUCUCUCUCUCUCUGUGUGGCGGGAAGAAGACGGAUCGACAGCGACAGGUUUCUCACUCGGGAAGCCGGAAUGACGUCGACGUGCGUCGGAGGACGGCGCACCAAGGUCGGCCUCUUGUCGCCGGUCAGUGUGCGCGCGCGUGCCUGUCGACUGCUGCUCUGGCCCCGCUCUCCUCCUCCUGUUUCCUCUCGACACGGCCGUCGCUGCCCGCCCAGCACCUCCGGCCCUUGUUUGCCCCGUGUCAAGGGAAUAGUGAGC
rnacentral:lncRNA from 1 species